rnacentral:rRNA from 1 species
CAGCAGCCGCGGGAAUACGUAGGUGGCAAGCGUUGUCCGGAAUUAUUGGGCGUAAAGGGCUCGCAGGCGGUUUCUUAAGUCUGAUGUGAAAGCCCCCGGCUCAACCGGGGAGGGUCAUUGGAAACUGGGAAACUUGAGUGCAGAAGAGGAGAGUGGAAUUCCACGCGUAGUGGUGAAAUGCGUAGAGAUGUGGAGGAACACCAGUGGCGAAGGCGACUCUCUGGUCUGUAACUGACGCUGAGGAGCGAAAGCGUGGGGAGCGAACAGGAUUAGAUACCCCUGUAGUCCCUGUCUCUUAUAC